rnacentral:rRNA from 1 species
UGGGGAAUCUUGGACAAUGGGGCAACCCUGAUCCAGCCAUGCCGCGUGAGUGAUGAAGGCCUUAGGGUCGUAAAGCUCUUUCGCCUGUGAAGAUAAUGACGGUAGCAGGUAAAGAAACCCCGGCUAACUCCGUGCCAGCAGCCGCGGUAAUACGGAGGGGGUUAGCGUUGCUUCGGAAUUACUGGGCGUAAAGCGCACGUAGGCGGACCAGAAAGUUGGGGGUGAAAUCCCGGGGGCUCAACCCCGGAACUGCCUCCAAAACUAUUGGUCUAGAGUUCGAGAGAGGUGAGUGGAAUUCCAAGUGUAGAGGUGAAAUUCGUAGAUAUUUGGAGGAACACCAGUGGCGAAGGGCGGCUCACUGGCUCGAUACUGACGCUGAGGUGCGAAAGUGUGGGGAGCAAACAGGAUUAGAUACCCCUGGGUAGUCCCACGCCGUAAAACGAUGAGUGCUAGUCGUCGGCAGGCAUG